AACGGAUGGAUCGAGUGUUAUUCGUGAUGACGGGCUUAAAGGGUGUGUAGGCGGAAAUAUACUGAUAAGUAAAAAGUCCUUUAGAGAUGAAAGGAAGCGCUUAUCCACCAUAUUUCUCGAGUUAUAUGGUGUUUUUUGAACUCAUUAAGUAAAGGUGAAAUUGUUGAUAAAAUGAGGACAUUCAGAAGCGGAAGCGAAAAACAGGAUAUAUUGACGCUAAGUCACUAAAGGAUGGGUAUGAAUGGG
rnacentral:rRNA from 1 species